UCAGUGUUCCCGGGGUGCUGGAUUUCGCCACAGGCGAAUGACGGCUGAGAUAAUACCCGUAAACCUGAUCAGGGUAAUGCCUGCGCAGGGAAGGAUGCCUCCUUUCUU
rnacentral:ncRNA from 2 species